AAAUUGAUUAUUGAAACCUAAACCCCUUUUUCCGGUUCAAAUUUCGGUUUAAAAUCGAAACCAAAGCAAUGAAUUCGAAUAAUCAUUUGCCUAAGAAUAUGAUAACGGCGAUUCAAACAACAAAGAAUUCAUACUCCAAACUUCUUCUCACUGAUCUGCUUUAUGGUUUUCAUCUUUUCCAGAAUGUUCGUAACAAGUUGUCGCCAACCCUGCUGUAGCUACCAGCUUCUGCCGCCGCUGGUCAACGCUGGCUGACGGUUGACCGCUCAAAGUUGGUUCAGCAGAAAGUCAACGGCAACAAUUUCACGCUGCAGUUUUGUUUCGUCUCCUUUUUUUUGACAGCCGUGAUACUCACCCCCCUAACCGCUUUGACUUUAGGAUAUGAAAAUGCAUUUUGACUCGCUUAAAGUUUAUGACAAUCAUAUGUUGACUACAAAACAAUUUGAAGUAAUCACUCAAUUAAUGAAGAGUGAGUUUAAUCAAUAAAGUCUGCGGCGUAGUUGUCAAUAGCGAUCGUAGCGAUCGCUAUAGCGCGCUACGUAGCGUAUAG
rnacentral:lncRNA from 1 species